rnacentral:misc_RNA from 1 species
UUUCCGUAGGUGAACCUGCGGAAGGAUCAUUAACACUUUUUUUUUAUGGGAUGUUUUUUCUUCUCUUGUUCUUUUUUUUUAAAGAAAAAGAAGAAAAAAACUUACCUAUUUACCCCCCACUUUAUUGAAUGAAUUUAUUAGAAAAAAAAGAGAGAUUAAAAGUUUUUUUUACUUUUUUUCUUUUCUUUUUUUCUUUUUCUUUUUCUUUUUCUUUUUCUUUUUUUUAACCCCAACCAAAAACAUUAUUAUACAUAAGACUGAUAUAAAAAAAAUUCUAAGAAUUGAUAAAAACAACUCUUAACAACGGAUAUCUUGGCUCUC